rnacentral:tRNA from 1 species
GGGCCGGUAGCUCAGUCUGGUUAGAGCGCACGCCUGAUAAGCGUGAGGUCGGAGGUUCAAGUCCUCCUCGGCCCACCA